rnacentral:rRNA from 1 species
GACGAACGCUGGCGGCGUGCUUAACACAUGCAAGUCGAACGGAAAGGCCCUGCGUUUGUGGGGUGCUCGAGUGGCGAACGGGUGAGUAACACGUGAGUAACCUGCCCUUGUCUUUGGGAUAACUUCAGGCAACUGGGGCUAAUACCGGAUAGGAGCUCCUGCUGCAUGGUGGGGGUAGGAAAGUUUCGGCGGUUGGGGAUGGACUCGCGGGUUAUGAGCUUGUUUGUGGGGUAGUGACUUACGAAGGCUUUGACGGGUAGCCGGCAUGAGAGGGUGACCGGCCACAUUGGGACUGAGAUACGGACCAGAAUGCUACGGGAGGCAGCAGUGGGGAAUAUUGCACAGUGGGGGGACGCCUGAUGCAGCAACGCCGUGUGCGGGAUGACGGCCUUCGGGUUGUAAACCGCUUUCGCAUGUGACGAAGAGGGAGUGACGGUAAUGGGUAAAGAAGCACCGGCUAACUACGUG